GCGAGAGUGGCGAAACUGGUAGACGCGCGGGAUUUAGGUUCCCGUCCUUAACCGGGUAGGGGUUCGAGUCCCCUCUCUCGCACCA
rnacentral:tRNA from 1 species